GAAGUGGCUUCUCAAGGCAAGAAAAUUGCAAAAAUGAAAGGAGAUCACAGGUUUGUACUGUGCUCAUGGUUUUGGGUUCCGCUUAAUGUUUUGUUGCUGCUGUUCGGCUAAUGUAAAUAAAGUGUUUGUGUGCCAACAGGUGAGGAAUGGAGGCUGCUGCUGUUUAAAGCAUGAAAAUAGUGAUGAAUGGAGACUGCUGCUGUUUAAAGCAUUAAAAAAGAGCUGGGUGUUGUACCUCGGUUGACCAGCGGAUGGUGCUUGUGUACUGUGCUUUACUCAGCCAGAAAGGUGAGUUGCUUUGUAAUGUAUU